rnacentral:rRNA from 1 species
AGAUUGAACGCUGGCGGCAUGCUUUACACAUGCAAGUCGAACGGUAACAGGCCGCAAGGUGCUGACGAGUGGCGAACGGGUGAGUAAUACAUCGGAACGUGCCCAAUCGUGGGGGAUAACGCAGCGAAAGCUGUGCUAAUACCGCAUACGAUCUAUGGAUGAAAGCGGGGGAUCGCAAGACCUCGCGCGAUUGGAGCGGCCGAUAUCAGAUUAGCUAGUUGGUGGGGUAAAAGCCGUACCAAGGCGACGAUCUGUAGCUGGUCUGAGAGGACGACCAGCCACACUGGAACUGAGACACGGUCCAGACU